rnacentral:rRNA from 1 species
GCGGAGGAAAAGAAACCAACAGGGAUUGCCUUAGUAGCGGCGAGUGAAGCGGCAAAAGCUCAAAUUUGAAAUCUGGUACCUUUGGUGCCCGAGUUGUAAUUUGAAGAAGGAUACUUUGGUGCUGGCUCUUGUCUAUGUUCCUUGGAACAGGACGUCACAGAGGGUGAGAAUCCCGUGCGAUGAGAUGACCAGUGCCGUGUAAAGUGCCUUCGAAGAGUCGAGUUGUUUGGGAAUGCAGCUCUAAGUGGGUGGUAAAUUCCAUCUAAAGCUAAAUAUUGGCGAGAGACCGAUAGCGAACAAGUACAGUGAUGGAAAGAUGAAAAGAACUUUGAAAAGAGAGUGAAAAAGUACGUGAAAUUGUUGAAAGGGAAGGGCUUGAGAUCAGACUUGGUAUUUUGUAUGUCUUGCUUUCGGGCGGGGCCUCUGCAGUUUACUGGGCCAGCAUCGGUUCGGGUGGCAGGACAAUUGCGGAGGAACGUGGCACCCCUCGGGGUGUGUUAUAGCCUCUGUCGAUACUGCCUGCCUGGACCGAGGUCUGCGAUUCUGUCUAGGAUGCUGGCAUAAUGAUCUUAA